rnacentral:rRNA from 1 species
GAUGAACGCUGGCGGCGUGCUUAACACAUGCAAGUCGAACGGUGAAGCCAAGCUUGCUUGGUGGAUCAGUGGCGAACGGGUGAGUAACACGUGAGCAACCUGCCCUGGACUCUGGGAUAAGCGCUGGAAACGGCGUCUAAUACUGGAUAUGAGCCUCUAUCGCAUGGUGGGGGUUGGAAAGAUUUUUCGGUCUGGGAUGGGCUCGCGGCCUAUCAGCUGGUUGGUGAGGUAAUGGCUCACCAAGGCGUCGACGGGUAGCCGGCCGGAGAGGGUGACCCGCCACACUGGGACGGGGAGACGGCCCAGACUCCUACGGGGGGCAGCAGUGGGGAAUAGUGCACACUGGGCGGAAGCCGGAUGCAGCAACGCCGCGUGAGGGAUGACGGCAUUCGGGUUGUAAACCUCUUGUAGCAAGGAAGAAGCGAAAGUGACGGUACUUGCAGAAAAAGCGCCGGCUAACUACGUGCCAGCAGCCGCAGUAACAC